CCGAGCUCCUCGUCGGCGAAGCCUCUCCCGACGCCUCCUCUCCUCCGUGCCUUAGCGCUCCGAGGGUUUUCGUGCAAGAUCCGUGGUCUUCUUCUUCUCUCGGCCAACAGCACACACACCCUGUUCUUUCACGCCGGCGAAGUCUUGCCGGCCUUCAUUGACAUUUCAAAAAAGGGUUACAAGUCAGCAUAGGAUGGAUACAACUAGCUCAAAGAAUGCAAGGAAAGAAGGGAGUGAAGAAAGAAACUGGACUUGGUCUAACAUAUAAAAAGGAUGAAAAUUUUGGAGAAUGGUACUCUGAGGUUA